GAUGAACGCUGGCGGCGUGCCUAAUACAUGCAAGUCGAGCGAACAGACGAGGUGCUUGCUCCUCUGACGUUAGCGGCGGACGGGUGAGUAACACGUGGAUAACCUACCUAUAAGACUGGGAUAACUUCGGGAAACCGGAGCUAAUACCGGAUAAUAUAUUGAACCGCAUGGUUCAAUAGUGAAAGACGGUUUUGCUGUCACUUAUAGAUGGAUCCGCGCCGCAUUAGCUAGUUGGUAAGGUAACGGCUUACCAAGGCAACGAUGCGUAGCCGACCUGAGAGGGUGAUCGGCCACACUGGAACUGAGACACGGUCCAGACUCCUACGGGAGGCAGCAGUAGGGAAUCUUCCGCAAUGGGCGAAAGCCUGACGGAGCAACGCCGCGUGAGUGAUGAAGGUCUUCGGAUCGUAAAACUCUGUUAUUAGGGAAGAACAAAUGUGUAAGUAACUAUGCACGUCUUGACGGUACCUAAUCAGAAGGCCACGGCUAACUACGUG
rnacentral:rRNA from 1 species